GAAACAUGGGUCUACUCCUCGAUAGGUGAAGAAGUCAGGACUGAGUCUCCGCUAAAAAGACACUUUCGCUAUCCUGGCAGGUGCCGCCCAGGUAUGGGGCCGCGACAGAUCAGGUUGUUGGUGAGGUAAUGCCUCAUCAAGCUUUUUACCAGUGCGGACUGUGGGAGCGGGAGCUCGGAGAUGGUCACCGAGACAAGGUCCCAGGCCCUAGGGGGCGCAGCAGUCGAGAAAAUUUUGCAAUAAGCGAAAGCUUGACAGGGCUAUCAUUUCACCCCAUCCGCUGAGGAAGGCUUUUACCCAGUCUAGAACGCUGGGAGAAUAAGUACAGGGCAAGUCAGGUGUCAGCCGCGGGGGUAAUACCAGCUCUCCGAGUGGUGUGGAUGUUUAUUGGGCGUAAAGCAUCCGUAGCUGGCCAGGUUAGUCCCCUGUUAAAUCCACCGAAUUAAUCGUUGGAUUGCCGGGGGAUACUACUUGGCUAGGGGACGAGGGAGGCAGACGGUAUUUCCGGGGUAGGGGUGAAAUCCUAUAAUCCCGGGAGGACCACCAGUGGCGAAGGUUGUCUGCUAGAACGCGCCCGACGGUGAGGGAUGAAAGCUGGGGGAGCGAACCGGAUUAGAUACCCGGGUAGUCCCAGCUGUAAACGAUGCAGACUAGGUGUUUGGACGGCCACGUGCCGUUCUAGUGCCGCAGGGAAGCUGUUAAGUCUGCCGCCUGGGGAGUACGAUCGCAAGAUUGAAACUUAAAGGAAUUGGCGGGGGAGCACCACAAGGGGUGAAGCCUGCGGUUUAAUUGGACUCAACGCCGGGAAUCACUAGUGAAU
rnacentral:rRNA from 1 species